UACGUAGGGAGCAAGCGUUGUCCGGAAUCAUUGGGCGUAAAGAGCGCGUAGGCGGCCGUGUAAGUCCGCUCUGAAAGUCAAAGGCUCAACCUUUGAAAGCGGGUGGAUACUGCACGGCUAGAGUCCGGAAGAGGCGAGUGGAAUUCCUGGUGUAGCGGUGAAAUGCGUAGAUAUCGCCUGGAACGCCGACGGUGAAAACAGCUCGCUGGGGGUGUGGCCGACGCUGAGACGCGAAAGCCAGGGGAGCGAACAGG
rnacentral:rRNA from 1 species